UCUUCAGUAAGGUACUUCCUUACCUGUUACUCCAGCAAUGGAGUCACAGAACAUGAUGAAUGGAGAAUCAUGAGAUAUGAUUAAUAUCUCCCGUUUGCAGAGAACAGCAACUCUGUAAAACUCAUUCUGGC